CCGGGGCAUUGUUGGUUUUCAGUAAGUGUUUAAUCAACCCAGUUCAUAAGAAUUUCAUACCAGACUGAUGAAACUGAUUAUCUCAAUGUUUAUGAAGCUUGUUUAUUAUUGUAAAGGUCUAAAUUAUAACGUUAGCCAAGUUACUAAGCCCUAAAUUAUAACAUUAGCCAAGUUACUUAGCCCUAACUAACCUAUAUGAUCUAGUUUAAUUGCAUAGUAGCUAAGCUGGUAGUUGAUUUUUAAGUAAGUUAAAACACAAGAAUGGGGACAAAUAGUUUAAGAUUCAGCCUAAAACAAUAUUGAGGUCUAAUCAGGCUGUCUUAUUUUGUAUAGGGACAGGUAACCAUGAAAAGGAAGGGAGAUAUUGCAGACUUUUUUUUGUAAAGAGGCACAAAUCAGGCCCAGAUCAGGCCCAGGCAGACCCCACCCCUAAAACCAGCAGCCCUGGCAGCUCUCAACCGGGAGCUAGCCAGGCAAGUCAGUGUGAGCAUAGAGAAGGAUCCAGUCUACCACCACCAGGUCAGAACACACAGGCAGUAAAUUGCAUCUCCAGUUUAUUGAAAAGUGAAGCCUCACACUGUAACAAAAGACAUCAAUAAUGACUGGCCAGACCUGUGGAGUGCUAAACAAACAGAAGACUUCAAAUCCAAGAACCCCUGGUUGGGAUCCAAAAACAAAAAAUUGGGAUGUCUGGUCUGUAGCAGUGUGAACUCCAUUGGGAUCGACAAGGAGCAAGGACAAGGUGUAUCGCUCUCAAGAGAAUGGAUGAACUUUGAAAUUCAAGUGUCUGGCCAGGGAAGUAGAACAACAAGUUUGUCAAUCUUGAGAAAUAAGGUGAGGAAACAUGCGUUGUCCAAGGCCCACACUCAGGCUGUGAAGGUGGCAGAGCAACAGAAAGAAGCUGCCAUUGAGAAUGCAGUGGAGACUAUGACUGAGUCCUACAUGAAGGAAACUGAAGCUGUGUUUCGAACAGCCUACCAUCUGGCCAAAAAGAACCGAC